rnacentral:lncRNA from 1 species
CUUUGGUAUCAGGGCAACACCAACUUUAUAAACUAUCCUCUAUUAUACUUCCAAGAAAAUAUGAAGUAGAGCUGGGCUUAAUCAUUUAAAUUUUGAUAGAAUGCUGUUGUGAAACCUCUGAGCCUAGAGAUUCUUCCAUUCAGGUUUAAGUUUUUCUAUUAUGAAUUUUUUAAAAAAUAAUUUGUAUUUCUUUUAUUUCAUGUGCCCCAUUCUUUUUUUCAAUUAAAAGGUACCAUAAAGGAGCAGACUCAAAUAAAGAAAAUCCACGCUCCGGUAUUCCAGCUGGCACCUGAGGCCGGCCGGCUGGAUGCAGCCCUGAGCAUCUGUGUCCCGUUGCCUUAUAGCCUCCUCCCAGCACAGUUUCAUCGUGGCCUUCAGUUGCUGUAUGGACCCAGCAGCAAGAAAUUCUCAAAACAGACUAGAACGAAGAAAAAUAAAUGGAACUGCAGUAACAGAGCCACACAACUGUCCAGGAACUUCACACCAGCCAUGGAGCCGAGAGCCUCAUUUCUCAUGUGUAAAAUCAAAUAGAUUUUUAAGGAUGUCUAAGUAAGGAGAAAUAACAGCAUGAAACAGAACCACUGGGAAAAGUAGGAUAAAUCAACCCCAGAUAUAGUGGUGCUAACUUAGAAAAGAGACAAGAGCUUUAAACAAUGUUAAAAACAAUAGUGUAAUCAGAGAGACUCAAGAAAGUGUUGAAUUUGACAGAAGGAGAUGCCAGAGUGGAAGAGAUAGACAGUUUCUAGUUGCCAGGUGUUGUAAUUUGUAUAUGCAUGCCCAUGGAAGUAGAAAGACAUGGAGCAACCUCAUUGUCGCUCCUCCGUGGGUCUCACUGGCUUAGAGCUCAGCACAUAGGGCAGAAGGGCUGGCUAGCAAGCCCUAGAAGCUCACCUGCCUCCACCUUUCCAGCACUGGGAUACAAGGAACUGCCACCAUGUCCAGAUUUUAAAACCCAAGUUCUGGGGGUCAAACUAAAGCCCUCAUGUUUUACAGAGCAAGCACUUUACAAACUAACCUAUCUCCCCAGUUAAGCCAUUGCCCUUUCAAAAGUACAUUUUAUUUUUAUUUCUAUUUUUAUAUUUUUGCUGCCCAAGAAACAUAAAUCUUUUAUCUGUUGCCUGGGAUGGGUAGUUUAUAUCUUCUAACUUCAUGGCUCCUAAAGAACAUUUCUAGGCUGCUUGACUUCAAAAUUUGCCUAACUUAUGACUUCUUCUUUAAGUUGUAAUAGACAAAGAAAAUAUUAUUUUGACAGUUGGAAUAACUUGAAACUGCAGAAAAUUCAGUGAUGCAUAUAUACAUAUACAUAUACAUAUAUAUAAUGUAUAUACAUAUAUUCACUUAAAUGUAUA